rnacentral:lncRNA from 10 species
AUUGGGACAUUGCUCAAGCAAGGAACCACCUGGCUCCCUGAGGAGGCUCACUGCAUGCUUUCGUGAAAGGACCCUGUCCCAGCAAUCGAUGUCCACUAUCAGCAGGAAGAAGUUACAGAAGAAUGACCUUCACCCUCCUCUCCUCUUAAAAUUAAGGGCUCUCUUAGCUGGGCAUAGUGGCGCAUGCUUGUAAUCCCAGAUACUUGGGAGGAUGAGGCACGAGAAUCACUUGAGCCCGGGAAGCAGAGGCUGCAGUGAGCCAAGAUCGCACCACCACACUCUAGCCUGGGUGGCAGAGCGAGACCCUGUCUCAAAAAAACAAAACAAAACAAAAAGAUUAAGGGUUCCCUCAAAAUUAGUGGGGGUAAUGUUAGGGAACCAGGAGCCUAGGAGGGCCAGAGUAGCACCAUUUUAAGUUCAGCUCCAUCUUGAGAAAUAGUAAAGCCCAUUCUCUGCUGGUCACGACCCACAUUCAUGGGCUGUUUACAGUGGAAGAAACAGCCUAAAGAUACCUACAAGGACACACUCCUACUACAGCCAAGAGUCCAGAUGUCCAAUACCCAUAACAAUCUCUGUUUUCAAGAUAAUAAUAGUUUUGCUUUGAUGUAUCCACACACUAGAAUGUCAAGGCCAGUUUUCUUUAAAUCAGUAGUCAUACAUUCUGUCAUGCUGUCUGCUCACCCACACGUGGACACAGCUUAGCUUAGCCUUUAUAUAGACAAGAUCUCUAGAGAAGAAAAACAAAAAACAAAGUCGAGGCGUUCCUCCUCUUGCUUUCUGAGGAUGCCCUACUCUAACAGUGUAGUUUCUAAUAACGUUGCUUCUUUCACUGCACUCUGUGACUCGUUUUGAAGUCCCUCCUGCUCGAGAUCCAAGAACGUUCUCUUGGGGUCUGGAUAGAGAUCCCUUUUCCGGUAACACGAUCAUUGAAGGUAUAGAGGUCCCGGACUGCUGGGAAUAUUUUAUAUUUCCUUUUGAAGACUCUCCAUCCUGCCCUUAUUUCUUAAAGCUGAGUUAAUUCCAUUGCACAUAAUUUAUUUCUCCCUCCUGUAUACAUAUCUUCCUUUUGUCCUCUUCUGUCGCUUUUAAUACCGUGUGGAGGUGCAAAACCCCUUCUAGUAAUGGCUGGGGAAAAAAAGUCAUGUAAGUCCCAGGGUGAAAUAAGACUUUCUAAAAAAAAUACUUGAGUCUCAACCUCUAAAACCUUUCAAGUACCCCGAUAUUUCUUUUCAUCUUGUCACAAAUUUUUAUAUUCCUCUUCAUCCUGUUAAAAUCUCCCCUGUUUUUCUUAAAUUACCACCUUUCAAGGUAAAUAAAACGCUGCUG